UCUCUCUCUAUCACUCUACUCUCUUGCAAUCUUGUCUUCUCCUCGUAGGAUUUCUCUCAUCUUUUAGUUGAUCUAUUUAGUGUUAGAUAUUGAUUCUUGACCUCUACUCUUGUGAGGUUUUGAGAGUCACCGUCGAUUUCCGAAAGCGAAACAAGUUGUUCUAUGUUUGUCUUCAUCGUUGGCGAGUGCAUUUUUUAAAGCAAUUUUAUGAGUGGAUUGAGUUUUUUCCACUGUUAAUCGAGUGAACAUGGUGUUUACUUCGAAAUGGGAGUUGCAACUCGAUGGUUGUAAGGGGAUAUAGUCCGAAGAGCUGCGAUGUUACCUCUAUUGUUGUUUCUAUAAAGACUUCAUCAAAUACGUCAAUGCACUCAUCUUUCUUUUUCAAGAAGUUUACUACUUCUAAAAUAUGAGUACCUCAUAAAAUCGGCAGCAUACAAAACAAACAAGCUAAACACAAGGAGACUGCUGCAGAAAUUCAUUGUCUGCAAGUUAAGGUUGAAUUCCUGACUAAUAUCAUCAAUCGAAAGGAAAAUGAAAGGGAUGUUUUGACUUCUAGAUCAGCUCAGACAAAUUCAAAAGUAAAAAACCUGAAAUAUUCAAAGAUCACUGGUCUAAAGAGAACUGCAGCAGACCUGAAGCUUCUUUAUCAAAUGCAUGUACAUGAAUCAGUUGACUCAAGGUUAGUAUUCCUCAGUUUUUUAAAUUAGAGCCGUAGUAAUGGAUCUUAUGUUAACUGUGCCUGACACAUUCGUACUCCCAACAUUAGGAAGUUAAACGUGAAAUUUGUUGAGAUUCUUGAGUCAGUUGUGGAUUAGCUGUCAUGCUUUCAUGCAUAGGAAAAAGUUGUCGAUGUACCUCUGUCAUUUUAACUUUACUGCAAAUAUUUUUGUUUCUUCAAUUAAAUUAACAGAAUUCAUAAUGUGUGAUU